CUGUGGGAGAGACUUUGAUCCAGGGAAGUUAUGUGGUGAUUUUGGCUUGAACAGCUAAAGCUUGGCACAGACUUUGAGCCAGUGUAACUGUUUCUGGUAUUUGAUAUGAAGGGGAAAAAAUGCAAGCCAAUUUAACAGAUAAGGAUAGGAUCAGCAGUAUACAGAUGGUCAAGAGCAAUUAAGACUGCAGUUGCACACCAACCAAUGAUGGAACUUCUAUUAACUAAGGACAAGGGUAGAUGCUAUCCAGUCCAAAAUAAAUUUAUAGUUUUGCACCAAUCAGUAACAAAUCCAACGAACUUGAGCAAAUUGAUUCGUCAUACCGAAUAAGGCAAAGAGUCGGACUAGGCUACUCAUUGUAUGAUGCUACACACUAGUGUUGAUUGUGAUGCGGCUACUUGUAUUUGUGUUCUGCUCCUCCAUGAGAAAAAACCACAUAUAAAACUGAAAAAUAUAGUUGGACUAAGGCUUUGCAGCAAUGUGACUGGAUUUGAAAGGUUCUUCUGCUAGAAUUUUCAGCUACUGUCAUCUUCUUCAUGCCUGAAUUCCUUCUUACUGUCAUUUUUUCCUUCCCUUGUUUAGCUGUCUCUCAAGCUCUGUCCCUGGCUUAAUCAUCUAGGAGUUUCAGGGUCUUUGACAUGGGGGAAGCUGCAGAACUGCAAGUUCAAAUCAUGGGUCAGGAAGCCAGAGAAGAGAACUCUGCUGAAGGAAAUGUGGCUCUCCAAACAAUGACACCUAGAAUCAGAAAGUAUAUGUGGUGGCUCCAAAUCGCCAUCUUAAACCAGAUAUAAUGAAAAUUAUUUAAAACCUUAUACAUUUUUAAAUUCUUGAUUUUUUACAUGAGGAGAAAAUAAGAUAAAUAAAUUUGAGGAAGCGUGUGAUAAAAAUUUAUUCAUCUUAAAUAUAUUUUUUAUUUCCAUUGUUUUUUCUUGUCAUCUUUCACUUCACAUUUUUUCCCCCUCUUACUUUCCUUUGCAUUUUCCAAAAUCCAAAUGGAGCCUGAAAAAGGGAAGAAAAGGGAAAAACUUGCUUGAUAGUGCCUAAGAAUAUGGUGAAUGCCUUUCUAACUUGUGGACAUGGGUGUGCAGAUCAAACAAGCCUAAUGGACAGCCUAAGUGGCUUCUUUCUCUUAUUCCAGAUUAUCCGUUGCUCAACUUCAUGCUCACAACUGCCAUCUAUAUCUUAGUAUCCCCUCGGCUUUUUGAACUAACCAAUACACUCAAGACAGUUUUUAUUCCUACAAAGGACAAUCGCCGGCUGCUGCAUGAAUUUUCUUGCUGGAAUUGGCAUAUCUCUGUGUUUAUAUUGCAUUGGGUUCAUUCUUCUUCAGAUUCCUCAUGCACAAGCUUGACAAAUCAGGACUGAAAGGACUGGUACAAAGGGAUUUCCUGUUGGAUCUAGAAGAAGGUACAGAUGAAAGUAAAUAAGGGGACUUGGAAGCCCUGACAAAUCAGGGCUAGUGUACACAUGCCUUGGUGCUGCUCCAAAACAAAUCUCUGAUUCUGGAGAAGGAACUUAGUGAAGAAAAGAUGUAAGGGUAGGCUACUGAAAUCAUGGACCUGUCGUGUUUAACAAAGUAGUGUCUCUCUUUCUCAUCCUAUUCAGUAGUGUCUCUCUUUACUCAAAGCAUCCACUCUCUCUCUCUGAAAUUCAAAUAAAAAAUGAUAAGAAAGUGGAUAAUAGUAGGGACAGGCCUAGCUGUUUGACAGAAAUCUAAUGGAUCCGUUGACCCCCCCAGUUGGAACAGGUCAUUACUCAUUAGCA